rnacentral:rRNA from 1 species
CCUACGGGAGGCAGCAGUAGGGAAUCUUUCACAAUGGGCGAAAGCCUGAUGGAGCAACGCCGCGUGCAGGAUGAAGGCCUUCGGGUUGUAAACUGCUUUUAUAAGCGAGAAAUAUGAUGGUAACUUAUGAAUAAGGAUCGGCUAACUACGUGCCAGCAGCCGCGGUCAUACGUAGGAUCCGAGCAUUAUCCGGAGUGACUGGGUGUAAAGAGUUGCGUAGGUGGCAUAAUAAGUAGCUAGUGAAAUCUGGUGGCUCAACCAUUCAGACUAUUAGCUAAAAUGUUAAGCGCGAGACCGUUAGGGGUAACUGGAAUUUCGAGUGUAGGAGUGAAAUCCGUAGAUAUUAGAAGGAACACCAAGAGCGUAGGCAGGUUACUGGGACGGUUCUGACACUAAGGCACGAAAGCGUAGGGAGCAAACGGGAUUAGAUACCCUAGUAGUC